AAUAGAUACCCGGGUAGUCCAUGCCGUAAACGAUGUCUACUAGCCGUUGGGGCCUUUGAGGCUUUAGUGGCGCAGCUAACGCGAUAAGUAGACCGCCUGGGGAGUACGGUCGCAAGACUAAAACUCAAAUGAAUUGACGGGGGCCCGCACAAGCGGUGGAGCAUGUGGUUUAAUUCGAUGCAACGCGAAGAACCUUACCUGGUCUUGACAUAGUAAGAACUUUCCAGAGAUGGAUUGGUGCCUUCGGGAACUUACAUACAGGUGCUGCAUGGCUGUCGUCAGCUCGUGUCGUGAGAUGUUGGGUUAAGUCCCGCAACGAGCGCAACCCUUUUCCUUAUUUGCCAGCGGGUUAAGCCGGGAACUUUAAGGAUACUGCCAGUGACAAACUGGAGGAAGGCGGGGACGACGUCAAGUCAUCAUGGCCCUUACGACCAGGGCUACACACGUGCUACAAUGGUCGGUACAAAGGGUUGCUACCUAGCGAUAGGAUGCUAAUCUCAAAAAGCCGAUCGUAGUCCGGAUUGGAGUCUACAACUCGACUCC
rnacentral:rRNA from 1 species